UACGAAGGGGGCUAGCGUUGCUCGGAUUGACUGGGCGUAAAGGGCGCGUAGGCGGAUAGUACAGUCAGGCGUGAAAUUCCUGGGCUCAACCUGGGGGCUGCGUUUGAUACGUGCGGGCUUGAGUUCGGAAGAGGGUCGUGGAAUUCCCAGUGUAGAGGUGAAAUUCGUAGAUAUUGGGAAGAACACCGGUGGCGAAGGCGGCGACCUGGUCCGAUACUGACGCUGAGGCGCGAAAGCGUGGGGAGCAAACAGG
rnacentral:rRNA from 1 species